rnacentral:rRNA from 1 species
UACGUAGGUGGCAAGCGUUGUCCGGAUUUACUGGGCGUAAAGAGCGCGCAGGCGGUUGAAUCAGUCGAAUGUGAAAGCCCCCGGCUCAACUGGGGAGGGUCAUUCGAUACUGUUCGACUCGAAGGCAGGAGAGGGAAGCGGAAUUCCCGGUGUAGUGGUGAAAUGCGUAGAUAUCGGGAGGAACACCAGUGGCGAAGGCGGCUUUCUGGCCUGUUCUUGACGCUGAGGCGCGAAAGCCAGGGGAGCAAAGCGGGAUUAAGAUGACCCUUGUAGUCCCUAG